rnacentral:rRNA from 1 species
UACGUAGGUGGCAAGCGUUGUCCGGAUUUAUUGGGUUUAAAGGGUGCGUAGGUGGUCUAUUAAGUCAGUGCUGAAAUAUCCCGGCUUAACCGGGAGGGUGGCAUUGAUACUGAUGGACUUGAGUGGAGUUGAGGUAGGCGGAAUUGACGGUGUAGCGGUGAAAUGCUUAGAUAUCGUCAAGAACACCGAUAGCGAAGGCAGCUUACCAAGCUCUAACUGACACUGAUGCACGAAAGUGUGGGGAUCAAACAGG